ensembl:lncRNA
CUGAUAUUAAACAUUCUUUUGCAUGAUUUAUAUAUUUCUGGUUUUAAUGCUCAGGCAUUUGUGAGCCAGCUAUUUUUCCAUUUUGUUACAGUGGUGCAGAUUUUAACACUGUUUCUGCAGUUCUGCAAAUAACGAUUCUGUGUAUAUGUCGUUUGUUUAUCUGAGGUUUUAUUUAUCCCAUUUUAAUGACCAGAUUUUUUUUCCCAAGUAUUUCCAUUAAACCUAAAUGAAAGGGGGUGUACUUGAAGUCAUGUGCAUGUUAUUGAGCUGUGCCUUAAAAGUGCCACUAGAGGGGGCAGCAAGCUGUUCUAUUUUUUCAGUGAUUUUAUUGUGUUGUUUGUACAGAAUAAUUUCCAGCCAAAAUCUGUAGAGCAGGUUUUCAUUUUUGCUAUAAUUUUUUGUUCAUUCUCCAGGACUGUCUGUUCUUUCAGUCCCCACCUCCUGCCGGCGUAGGAGGGAAAUCUGUUCCUUUCUCUAUAAUUGCCCCACUGGCUUCUAUAUUUGGAUCUAUGUCCUCUGUCCUCUCCUCUCACUCGCUGUUGCGCUCUUGCUGUUUUGUCACUGUUAUUGAUUCACAUUCUCGCUGUGCUGCAAAGCAAAACCAGCCAGAAUCGGUGCAAGGAAGAAGCAAGGAAGCAUCGACGUAAAUCUGCGCCACUGUGGAAAUGAACGCUGGCGUUAGGAGCUUCUUUAGUCUGCUGCUAAUCACACACUUUAGCAGAGCCCAGAAAAUCAGUGAUGACUCCAUCAACACCCCCCACCCUCCUGUGCUGUUCAGCAUCAGCCCCCAAUCCUACAUCAGCUUCCUGCUGCUGGGCCUGACCGUCGUCGUGUUCGGCGGCGUCUAUCUCUGGAUCCUCAGAUACGUCUGCAUCGGCUGCUGCCAGCCCAUCACAGUGGGCGUUGAAUCAGAAGCCCUGGCAGGGAUGGUGUGAAGUCAUCGGCCCCUGUCUGAUUGAGUUGGGCUGUUACCAAGUCACACAGGACAUGUACCUCGGUUUUACAGGUAAAAGACUUGGCCUAUCCGACUUGUCAUCAAUUUUGCAAAAGAAAGUAGGUGUCAGGGAAGAUAACUAAGUGUGUAGUCAUUUGUGCUCCCAUAUAAGUUUUUUUUUUCAAGUGCGGUUCCAGAGCGCUCAGUGACAGUGUCAAUGCUGGAAAAUAAGAAAGUAGGAGAAAAGUAGUUCUUUUGCUCUUACUUCUACACCCUGCUUACCUGAUAUCUGGCAAACAUCUGUUGGACACUGCCUGAAAAAUCGCUAAAAAGCUACUGAGCAGUGAACGUGAGACACAAUUGUAAAGCUGGGUGGCAGAAAUUUAAGAAAAAGUUCAGCUAAUAAGCUGAUAAAAUGCUUUGUAUCUUUGCUUUAGGGUUUUCUUUGUAGUUUAUUGACUGUUUUAUUUCGAAACCCUUUUUUCAUGGUUUCUUUUCUUACUUCCUGCCUUUCUCCUUCACAAGUGGGUUUUGUGUGUAACAAUUAGCCAUUUAGUGUAUUUAUAAUGGCGUCCCCCUUUUCUGCUGUCAAGUUAGUUUGUGUCUAGUUUUAUUUGUUUUGUUCCUGGGUAUCUGUCUCAGCUUCAGCAUUAUGUUAAAAACAAUCCAUAAAAACAUACUACAGUGUCUUCUUUUAAAACAAAGACAUUUUCUAUUAUUUUUUCUCCAUAUAUUCCACUCAACUGGUUAUUUUUGAGCAUUUACACACUUUAUGGGGAAAAAAAUUACCAGUUGAAGUUUUUGUGAAAGUACAGCCUGUUGAUUUCUCUGCUCGUGGCAUUUCUGCUCAGCUGAAUGACACAAAUAAAUCUCCUUUUCUUCUUCAAUCUUGCCUUGUGUUAUGGGGCCUGUGUAGGGUGACCAGAUCACAGUCUAAAAGUAAAUAUAACAAAAAUAAAGAGAAGCUGAAGUUUGUUCUUAUUGUCUAUAUUAUCUGUUAAUUCUUCCUCCUCCUGGAGGAGGAGGAGUAUUUAAUCUGUUCUGUUUGUUAACAGUCUAGCAUGCAAUCGGAUCUAGGUCACAAUAAAUGUGAAAAUCUGAAAAAACUUUAUAUUACUCAAAUUUUUUAAUGGAUGGAUCUUCUAACUUCACAACAAUAUGCUAGACCUUGGUGGACAUUAAUACCUUGGCUGGCUAAACAUUUGACUUUGACCUUCAUUUUUAGUGCCCAAAUUUGAAGAAACCAUAUCAAGUAAUCUGUCAUAUUAAAAGUACAGAAAACUUUCUUCUUUUAUUC